GUCAGUGUAGUACAGUGGUUAGGGUGUCGGACUAGGAUUUUGUAGUCUAGGGUUCAGAUCCCCUGUUCAGUCA